rnacentral:rRNA from 1 species
UACGAAGGGGGCUAGCGUUGUUCGGAAUUACUGGGCGUAAAGCGCACGUAGGCGGAUCGAUCAGUCAGGGGUGAAAUCCCAGGGCUCAACCCUGGAACUGCCUUUGAUACUGUCGAUCUGGAGUAUGGAAGAGGUGAGUGGAAUUCCGAGUGUAGAGGUGAAAUUCGUAGAUAUUCGGAGGAACACCAGUGGCGAAGGCGGCUCACUGGUCCAUUACUGACGCUGAGGCACGAAAGCGUGGGUAGCAAGCAGG